GUUAGCUCAGUUUGGUAUGUAGAGCGCUUGGCUUUAACUCGUGUGGUCAUGGGUUCGAGCCUCAC
rnacentral:tRNA from 12 species